AGGUGGAGAAAGAGCUUUGGUUCCUGUUCUGAGCUGCUCUUAAAUGAUUGUUGACUUGGGUCUGUCUGCUUGGUUGAUGGUGCCUGUUUCUCCUUUGUCCUUACAUAAGGUAAUUUGUGUCUUUCAAGAAAUGUGUCCACUUACCCUGAGCUGUCAGAUUGAUUGGCAUGGAGUUGUUCCUAAUGUUCACUUACUGUCUGUGUGAUGUCUGAAGGGUCUUCAGAGAUUUUCCCCUCUAAACUCCCGAUACUCGUAACUCAUUACCGCUCUCUGUGGCAAAAACAACACGUUCAAUGAACCAGAACCCUCGUAGCCUAACACAAAUCCGUGUUAGGUGUACACUUAAGAAUGGCCUUCCCGUCUUGCAAGCCAUCCUGCCAUUGCAGAAGGCUCACCUAACUUCCGAACAUUACUUCCUGUGGGAGCAGUCAACACUUCCUGUGAGACCAAGCAACACAGGCCGGUUGGUUUCAUUGGGUUUUGCUUGGGUGGUCUUGCUCCCCUUGCACUGCAUAUCCUUUUUAUAAAGUGAUGUAUUGACUGUUA